CUCACCUGUUCUCAUCCUCUCAGGUGAAAAAAACACCUUUUACUACAAGGGUUUGUCACCUGUGUGGGUGCGGAGGGGUCUGGAAAGGAAAAAUAAUGUGUGUGUGUGUGUGUGUGCGUGCGUGCAUGCGUGCGUGCGUGUGCAUAUUUCCAGCGGCUCUCCCUCCAGGAAUGCAGCAUGGCUCUUCAGAAGGGGAUAUUAGUGCUGACCGCAGGGCCUCUUUCCCCUCUCCGCUUCCAUCUGGUGUCGCAUUAAAUAUUAAACUUUUUAAUUUGAUUCAAUUCCCGACGACAAACACCCGUGAUUGGAUCCAGAUGCCGGCAACCAGCGGGCCCACCCCAGGCCUGGUCUGCGCCUAAGGUUUGGAUACUCUGGAGCUCGGUAGAGGAGCUGGAGCUGAGACCCACAUUAAGGCUGGAACUGGGACUGGAGAUGUGGAAGGUUCUCCAGUUUGGACUGGGGGGUGGAAGUGGUCGUUUUGGUAGAAGAGGAGGUGUAGCAGAAGCUGCCCUUUGGGACUGGGGAUUGAAAUUGAGCUGGCAGUUGGGUUGGAACUGGAACUUUAACUGGACUGAAACUGUCAUGUCUUGCCCUUUCACAGAAGAGUGCCUUGACAGGACAUGGGAAAAAGAAAUGUUUAUUGUUGAUGAGAAUGGGUCAUCCUCAGGUUUUCAAGUUCAACCUGAUUCCAUGACCCUGAUUCAAGUCAGGGUUCAACAGUGACCAGACAAUGCAAGUCUUUGUAAUAAAAGGGUGCUAAAUGUU